rnacentral:rRNA from 1 species
UACUGGCCUUGAGUGUAGAUGAGGUGGGCGGAAUUCGUAGUGUAGCGGUGAAAUGCUUAGAUAUUACGAAGAACUCCAAUUGCGUAGGCAGCUCACUAGGCUACAACUGACGCUGAGGCACGAAGGUGCGGGGAUCAAACAGGAUUAGAUACCCUGGUAGUCCGCACAGUAAACGAUGAAUACUAACUGUUUGCGAUACACAGCAAGUGGUACAGUGAAAACGUUAAGUAUUCCACCUGGGGAGUACGCCGGCAACGGUGAAACUCAAAGGAAUUGACGGGGGCCCGCACAAGCGGAGGAACAUGUGGUUUAAUUCGAUGAUACGCGAGGAACCUUACCCGGGCUUGAAUUGCAUUUGAAUACGGCAGAAACGUCGUAGCCAGCAAUGGCAAAUGUGAAGGUGCUGCAUGGUUGUCGUCAGCUCGUGCCGUGAGGUGUCGGCUUAAGUGCCAUAACGAGCGCAACCCUCAUCAUUAGUUACUAACAGGUCAUGCUGAGGACUCUAAUGAGACUGCCAGCGUAAGCUGUGAGGAAGGUGGGGAUGACGUCAAAUCAGCACGGCCCUUACGUCCGGGGCGACACACGUGUUACAAUGGGGGGGACAGCAGGCAGCUACACGGCGACGUGAUGCCAAUCCCUAAACCCCCUCUCAGUUCGGAUCGAAGUCUGCAACCCGACUUCGUGAAGCUGGAUUCGCUAGUAAUCGCGCAUCAGCCAUGGCGCGGUGAAUACGUUCCCGGGCCUUGCACACACCGCCCGUCAAG